rnacentral:rRNA from 1 species
CCUACGGGAGGCAGCAGUGAGGAAUAUUGGUCAAUGGGCGGGAGCCUGAACCAGCCAAGCCGCGUGAGGGAAGAAGGUACAGCGUAUCGUAAACCUCUUUUGUCAGGGAACAAAGGCGGGGACUAGUCCCCGGAUGAGGGUACCUUAAGAAAAAGCAUCGGCUAACUCCGUGCCAGCAGCCGCGGUAAUACGGAGGAUGCGAGCGUUAUCCGGAUUUAUUGGGUUUAAAGGGUGCGCAGGCGGCCUGUUAAGUCAGCGGGAAAAGCCCGGGGCUCAACCCCGGCGAGCCGUUGAAACUGGCGGGCUGGAGUUGGAGAGAAGUAAGCGGAAUGCGCGGUGUAGCGGUGAAAUGCUUAGAUAUCGCGCAGAACCCCGAUUGCGAAGGCAGCGUACCGGCUCCAAACUGACGCUGAGGCACGAAAGCGUGGGUAUCGAACAGGAUUAGAUACCCGUGUAGUC